GAGACGAGGCGUCCCUGGGCCCGCGGGAGAGUUGUGUCACGGGGCACUGAGCUGUUCCCUGCGCUAAGAAUUGGAAAAAUGAAUGUAAUUUGACAUAUGUCUUGAGUCUGGUUGGCUUCUGAGGAACUUGUGUGCAUCUCAUCAGUAUGCAUCUUAAGAACUGAAAUGACCCUACUUCAGCAUUGUGAGAAGACAUGCAUUCUCUUCGUAUAAAUAAUGUGGAUCUUACAUGUAAAGUAUUAUAAAGAUUAGCUGUUUAACAACUUAAAUAAGCUUGUGAAUAAUAAAUUAAUAACAAUGUUAUGCUAAUACGUAACUAUGAUAUUUGCUGAACAAAAUAAAUUUGCCUACUUUGGAAGCAGAUUGGGUGGUUUAAUAUAUCAGCAAAAGAGUGUUUUUAAAAAAUAUCAAAGUUCUGUUAAUCAAAACGUUUAUUGUAGGACAGUUAGUAAUGUUUUGUUUGCCAACUUAUAUUACAAAGUCUCUGUCUUAAGUGUUUCCUUGCAAAUAAAAUGACAAUACUGCCUUACAUUUUAUUACUUUAGAGUUUGCAAAAUAUCUUCAUUAUAAUAUUUCAUUUAGUAGACAUGCCUAUGGGAACAUUACUUCCAGAAUUAAAAACAUUAUUUUUGUUUUGGUAUAUUUUUAAACUACAAAUGAUAGAAAGGCAAGUAAAUGUAAGUUUUUCUCUAGUUAUUUGUUCAAAUGCUAAUUUAAAACAUUUGUACAUUUCUAAUACAAACAUUCCUUAUUUGAGAAAAAAUGGAUUUCUUAAAAACAAAAUGCAUUUUAAAGCAGAGAGACAGGGCAUUGAGCUGAAAAUGGUGGCUGGAAGUUGGGAUCUGUAAGAGAAGUUGAAUGUGCCCCGAGGCAUAAAGCUGCUAAUUUUGUUUUAUUGGAUUUUACUGUAGCUAUUAAUAUAUUUUGCUGGAGAUUUAUGUGAUCAAUUUAUCUUAUGGCCAGAACUAAUUCCCUUAGUAUAUUUUAUUAGAAUAUGUGACUUUUUCUAAAUUUAGCUUUAUUUUUCAUAUUUUCCAUAAAUGGCAAAGAUUCUAUGUUUCCAGACAUGUUAAGUAUUGCAAGAAUUAUUGGAGCACCUAAAGAUAAAUAAUAUCAAAAUAGUGUCAUUGUUUCCCUUAGUUUCUCCUUCUCCCCCACAAAUAAACCAAGAGGUAUUUAGUUAUACUAUUGCAUGUCUCUAGCUUUAUUGGAUUCUUCCAUGAAAGAAAAAUGGAUUACAUUUUUGGUUGUGUGGCCCUCGUUGCCCUAUUGCACUUUUGAUAAUAUUUGCCUGUGACAAGUAGUUAUUUUUCAUUACCACAUUCAAUCAUGGGUAAUAAAAUAUUUUAAUAAUGGUGAAUGUGAAGUUAAUUAAUAACCCGCAGGUAUGGCAGCUAGACAGGAUUGCUCUCCAUCUCAAACACAAGGAAAACAAUUCCAUCGGUAGUUAUAAAUUUGCAUAUGAAUGUCAAAUAUAUGAGGUUUUGAAUAAAAAUCAUUUCUGAGUAAAA
rnacentral:lncRNA from 1 species